rnacentral:rRNA from 1 species
CAGUCGCCGCGGGAACACGAAGGGUGCAAGCGUUACUCGGAGUUACUGGGCGUAAAGCGUGCGUAGGUGGUGGUUUAAGUCCGUUGUGAAAGCCCUGGGCUCAACCUGGGAAUUGCAGUGGAUACUGGAUCACUAGAGUGUGGUAGAGGAUAGUGGAAUUUCCGGUGUAGCAGUGAAAUGCGUAGAGAUCGGAAGGAACAUCUGUGGCGAAGGCGACUAUCUGGGCCAACACUGACACUGAGGCACGAAAGCGUGGGGAGCAAACAGGAUUAGAUACCCCUGUAGUCCCUGUCUCUUAUAC